UUGGCGGACGGGUGAGUAACGCGUGGAAAACCUGCCGUAUACUGGGGGAUAACACUUAGAAAUAGGUGCUAAUACCGCAUAAGCGCACAGCUUCGCAUGAAGCGGUGUGAAAAACUCUGGGUGGUAUACGAUGGUUCCGCGUCUGAUUAGCUAGUUGGUGGGGUAAUGGCCUACCAAGGCAACGAUCAGUAGCCGGCCUGAGAGGGUGAACGGCCACAUUGGGACUGAGACACGGCCCAAACUCCUACGGGAGGCAGCAG
rnacentral:rRNA from 1 species